rnacentral:rRNA from 1 species
GAUGAACGCUAGCUAUAGGCUUAACACAUGCAAGUCGAGGGGCAGCAUGAACUUAGCUUGCUAAGUUUGAUGGCGACCGGCGCACGGGUGAGUAACGCGUAUGCAACUUACCUAUCAGAGGAGAAUAGCUCAUCGAAAGAUGAAUUAAUGCUCCAUAAAACAGGGGUCCCCGCAUGGGGAAUAUUUGUUAAAGAUUCAUCGCUGAUAGAUAGGCAUGCGUUCCAUUAGGCAGUUGGCGGGGUAACGGCCCACCAAACCGACGAUGGAUAGGGGUUCUGAGAGGAAGGUCCCCCACAUUGGGACUGAGACACGGCCCAG